UUCACCCUCUCUGAGUCUCAGUUUGCUCAUCUGUGAAGAGGGGGAGUUGGUGAGCUUGCCUCUGAGGGUUCCCCCACCUCUCUCUUGAAUGGAACUACACAGGAGGCCUUCCAUGUCAUCUGUAGGGAAACUGAGGCUGCGGAGGACGGGUCCACUGGGCCCGCCUACCUCUGCCCAAAGUUUCUGGUCAGAACUUUCUCUACAGGUGCUGUGGGAUCACAGGCCUGCCGUCUGGGGAAGAGCCGGGAGCCAUCUUCUCUGAGCUCGCUUCCUUGUCAGCGUCACCGGUGAGACAGGGGAAAUUGAGACCCCAGCGGCACAUCUUAAAUCAAAGCCCAGGCCAUCGAUCUCCCAGAACAGACUGAAAUCACAAGCAGCUCCCUGAAGUGAGGACCAGGAUCUUCAGGAAGACAGGCGCAAAGCCUUUCUCAGGGUGCCUGAAGUUUGCAAGUCCCCCAUGGCUCCCGGGCUGGUCCAGGAGUGAUGGAGAGGCUACAGCCGGAAGCCAGACGUUAAGAUAUGGGUGCAGAUGGAGGCCGACUGCUUUUCCUGGCUGGAGAAGAAAAUUGGUCAGAGCCGAGGAGCGGCAGGAGUUCGGACACAGUAACCACCUACCCCUCUGCAGAUAAGGAAGCCGGCCUCCCUGAUGGCCAGGCCCUGGCACCAUCAGGCCCGGUGGCAGCUGAGCAGGGAUUCUCUGGCGUCCUCUUCCGCUCUGGGGGCAGCUGAUCACGUGGUGUUCUGCCUGCUUACCCUGCUUCUCCAUUCCACUCCAAGAGGCCAGGGGUCCGUUUGUCUUGUCACCAAUGAGUCCCUGGUGCCCAUGUAGGCCUGGCUUGCGGGAGAUGCUUAGUCAAUAUUUGUGCUAAGAAC